rnacentral:rRNA from 1 species
CAGCCGCCGCGGUAAUACAGAGGGUGCAAGCGUUAAUCGGAAUUACUGGGCGUAAAGCGCGCGUAGGUGGUUCGUUAAGUUGGAUGUGAAAUCCCCGGGCUCAACCUGGGAACUGCAUCCAAAACUGGCAGGCUAGAGUAGGGCAGAGGGUGGUGGAAUUUCCUGUGUAGCGGUGAAAUGUGUAGAUAUAGGAAGGAACACCAGUGGCGAAGGCGACCACCUGGGCUCAUACUGACACUGAGGUGCGAAAGCGUGGGGAGCAAACAGGAUUAGAUACCCCUGUAGUCCCUGUCUCUUAUAC